CGUAGGUGGCAAGCGUUGUCCGGAAUUACUGGGUGUAAAGGGCGUGUAGGCGGGAGAAUAAGUCAGAUGUGAAAUACCGAAGCUCAACUUCGGGGCUGCAUUUGAAACUGUUCUUCUUGAGUGCAGGAGAGGAAAGUGGAAUUCCUAGUGUAGCGGUGAAAUGCGUAGAUAUUAGGAGGAACACCAGUGGCGAAGGCGACUUUCUGGACUGUAACUGACGCUGAGGCGCGAAAGCGUGGGUAGCAAACAGGAUUAGAUACCCUGGUAGUCCACGCCGUAAACGAUGGAUACUAGGUGUUGGGGGUAUCGACCCCUCCAGUGCCGGAGUUAACACAAUAAGUAUCCCACCUGGGGAGUACGGCCGCAAGGUUG
rnacentral:rRNA from 1 species